UACGUAGGGGGCUAGCGUUGUCCGGAAUCAUUGGGCGUAAGCGCGUGUAGGCGGUUCGGUAAGUCCGCUGUGAAAGUCGGGGGCUCAACCCUCGGAUGCCGGUGGAUACUGUCGGACUAGAGUACGGAAGAGGCGAGUGGAAUUCCUGGUGUAGCGGUGAAAUGCGCAGAUAUCAGGAGGAACACCGAUUGCGAAGGCAGCUCGCUGGGACGUUACUGACGCUGAGACGCGAAAGCGUGGGGAGCAAACAGG
rnacentral:rRNA from 1 species